rnacentral:rRNA from 1 species
GAUCCUGGCUCAGGACGAACGCUGGCGGCGUGCUUAACACAUGCAAGUCGAACGGACGAUGAAGAGCUUGCUUUUCAAAGUUAGUGGCGGGCGGGUGAGUAACGCGUGGGUAACCUGCCUCAUACAGGGGGAUAGCAGCUGGAAACGGCUGAUAAAACCGCAUAAGCGCACAGUGCCGCAUGGCACAGUGUGAAAACUCCGGUGGUAUGAGAUGGACCCGCGUCUGAUUAG